AUUGAACGCUGGCGGCAUGCCUUACACAUGCAAGUCGAACGGUAACAGGUCUUCGGAUGCUGACGAGUGGCGAACGGGUGAGUAAUACAUCGGAACGUGCCCGAUCGUGGGGGAUAACGAAGCGAAAGCUUUGCUAAUACCGCAUAAGAUCUAAGGAUGAAAGCAGGGGACCGCAAGGCCUUGCGCGGACGGAGCGGCCGAUGGCAGAUUAGGUAGUUGGUGGGAUAAAAGCUUACCAAGCCGACGAUCUGUAGCUGGCCUGAGAGGACGACCAGCCACACUGGGACUGAGACACGGCCCAGACUCCUACGGGAGGCAGCAGUGGGGAAUUUUGGACAAUGGGCGAAAGCCUGAUCCAGCCAUGCCGCGUGCAGGAUGAAGGCCUUCGGGUUGUAAACUGCUUUUGUACGGAACGAAAAGACUCUGGUUAAUACCUGGGGUCCAUGACGGUACCGUAAGAAUAAGCACCGGCUAACUACGUGCCAGCAGCCGCCGUAACAC
rnacentral:rRNA from 1 species